GGAUAACAUACCGAAAGGUAUGCUAAUACGGGAUAAUAUAUUUGAGAGGCAUCUCUUAAAUAUCAAAGGUGAGCCAGUACAGGAUGGACCCGCGUCUGAUUAGCUAGUUGGUAAGGUAACGGCUUACCAAGGCGACGAUCAGUAGCCGACCUGAGAGGGUGAUCGGCCACAUUGGAACUGAGACACGGUCCAAACUCCUACGGGAGGCAGCAGUGGGGAAUAUUGCACAAUGGGCGAAAGCCUGAUGCAGCAACGCCGCGUGAGUGAUGAAGGCCUUCGGGUCGUAAAACUCUGUCCUCAAGGAAGAUAAUGACGGUACUUGAGGAGGAAGCCCCGGCUAACUACGUGCCUGCAGCCGCGGUAAUACGUAGGGGGCUAGCGUUAUCCGGAUUUACUGGGCGUAAAGGGUGCGUAGGCGGUCUUUCAAGUCAGGAGUGAAAGGCUACGGCUCAACCGUAGUAAGCUCUUGAAACUGGGAGACUUGAGUGCAGGAGAGGAGAGUGGAAUUCCUAGUGUAGCGGUGAAAUGCGUAGAUAUUAGGAGGAACACCAGUUGCGAAGGCGGCUCUCUGGACUGUAACUGACGCUGAGGCACGAAAGCGUGGGGAGCAAACAGGAUUAGAUACCCUGGUAGUCCACGCUGUAAACGAUGAGUACUAGGUGUCGGGGGUUACCCCCUUCGGUGCCGCA
rnacentral:rRNA from 1 species